AAUAUUGCGCAAUGGGGGGAACCCUGACGCAGCGACGCCGCGUGAGUGACGAAGGCCUUCGGGUCGUAAAACUCUGUCAUUGGGGAAGAAAAAAAUGACGGUACCCAAUGAGGAAGCCCCGGCUAACUACGUGCCAGCAGCCGCGGUAAUACGUAGGGGGCAAGCGUUGUCCGGAAUUACUGGGCGUAAAGGGUGCGUAGGCGGCCUAAUAAGUCAGAUGUGAAAUACCGAGGCUCAACCUCGGAGGUGCAUUUGAAACUGUUGGGCUUGAGUGCAGGAGAGGAAAGUGGAAUUCCUAGUGUAGCGGUGAAAUGCGUAGAGAUUAGGAGGAACACCAGUGGCGAAGGCGACUUUCUGGACUGUAACUGACGCUGAGGCACGAAAGCGUGGGGAGCAAACAGG
rnacentral:rRNA from 1 species